UUUACAUUGGCAAGUCGAACGCUUUGUGGUUCAACUGAUUUGAAGAGCUUGCUCAGAUAUGACGAUGGACAUUGCAAAGAGUGGCGAACGGGUGAGUAACACGUGGGAAACCUACCUCUUAGCAGGGGAUAACAUUUGGAAACAGAUGCUAAUACCGUAUAACAAUGACAACCGCAUGGUUGUUAUUUAAAAGAUGGUUCUGCUAUCACUAAGAGAUGGUCCCGCGGUGCAUUAGCUAGUUGGUAAGGUAAUGGCUUACCAAGGCGAUGAUGCAUAGCCGAGUUGAGAGACUGAUCGGCCACAAUGGGACUGAGACACGGCCCAUACUCCUACGGGAGGCAGCAGUAGGGAAUCUUCCACAAUGGGCGAAAGCCUGAUGGAGCAACGCCGCGUGUGUGAUGAAGGGUUUCGGCUCGUAAAACACUGUUGUAAGAGAAGAAUGACAUUGAGAGUAACUGUUCAAUGUGUGACGGUAUCUUACCAGAAAGGAACGGCUAAAUACGUGCCAGCAGCCGCGGUAAUACGUAUGUUCCAAGCGUUAUCCGGAUUUAUUGGGCGUAAAGCGAGCGCAGACGGUUAUUUAAGUCUGAAGUGAAAGCCCUCAGCUCAACUGAGGAAUUGCUUUGGAAACUGGAUGACUUGAGUGCAGUAGAGGAAAGUGGAACUCCAUGUGUAGCGGUGAAAUGCGUAGAUAUAUGGAAGAACACCAGUGGCGAAGGCGGCUUUCUGGACUGUAACUGACGUUGAGGCUCGAAAGUGUGGGUAGCAAACAGGAUUAGAUACCCUGGUAGUCCACACCGUAAACGAUGAGUGCUAGGUGUUUGAGGGUUUCCGCCCUUAAGUGCCGCAGCUAACGCAUUAAGCACUCCGCCUGGGGAGUACGACCGCAAGGUUGAAACUCAAAGGAAUUGACGGGGACCCGCACAAGCGGUGGAGCAUGUGGUUUAAUUCGAAGCAACGCGAAGAACCUUACCAGGUCUUGACAUCCCUUGACAACUCCAGAGAUGGAGCGUUCCCUUCGGGGACAAGGUGACAGGUGGUGCAUGGUUGUCGUCAGCUCGUGUCGUGAGAUGUUGGGUUAAGUCCCGCAACGAGCGCAACCCUUAUUACUAGUUGCCAGCAUUCAGUUGGGCACUCUAGUGAGACUGCCGGUGACAAACCGGAGGAAGGUGGGGAUGACGUCAAAUCAUCAUGCCCCUUAUGACCUGGGCUACACACGUGCUACAAUGGCGUAUACAACGAGUUGCCAACCCGCGAGGGUGAGCUAAUCUCUUAAAGUACGUCUCAGUUCGGAUUGUAGGCUGCAACUCGCCUACAUGAAGUCGGAAUCGCUAGUAAUCGCGGAUCAGCACGCCGCGGUGAAUACGUUCCCGGGUCUUGUACACACCGCCCGUCACACCAUGAGAGUUUGUAACACCCAAAGCCGGUGGGGUAACCUUCGGGAGCCAGCCCGUUUG
rnacentral:rRNA from 1 species